GCGGGUCUCUCACUUAUCAAAGUUGGCGUCUGUUCUCGCGUUUCUGUUUCAAUGUUGUCAAACCUGGUUCAGUAAAACAGUAUCAUAACCUAGGUGGUGAAAUACGGACAAAAGCGGUGUUUGGACGGUUGGUCAAGCCAGUCUUUAGACACAACCGUCAUUCCAAACCUGAUUUUAUUUCCUUUUCGUCCUUGCUGUGUCCAGCCCGAAGAAACUCCUCCACUCUCCCAUGAGGUGCCCAGGGUCCUUCUAAGCUAAGUCAGCCUUGGCUCUCUCAAACUCCUCCUCCAGGGACUGAUGUCUGGACAGGAGGGCGCUACCCCACCGCUGCUCCUUACUUA